rnacentral:lncRNA from 10 species
GUAUAUGCACACAUACGUAUAUGUAUAUAUGUAUAUGUAUAUAUGUAUAUGUAUAUGUACAUAUAUGUAUAUGUAUAUGUGUAUAUAUAGCCAUUCUCCUGCCUCAGCCUCCCAAGUAGCUGGGAUUACUUGGGCACACGCUGCCAUGCCUGGCUAAUUUUUUGUAUUUUUUUAGUAAGAGACGAGGGUUCACUGUGUUAGCCAGGAUGGUCUUGAUCUCCUGACCUCAUGAGCCGCCUGCCUCGGCCUACCAAAAUGGUGGGAUUACAGGCAUGAGCCACCGCGCCCGGCCUGUUUUUAUGUAAUUCAUAGUGUUACAAUAUAAGAAAAAAUAAGUCAGUUAAAAUAUCUGCUAAAUUAUCAAUGAGAUACUGUAAUUUUUAUUAUUUUCUUUUAUAAAUGAGUCACUCAUUAAAGUAUCCUAAAAUUGUUAAUUUUGUUAACAAAUUUAAUUUUACUGUAUAAAUUAUAAACGUCGAUUAGACUAACCCGCCCUUAAAAUAAAAAGAGAGUUAUGUACAUGAUGAACCACUGUAACACCAAAGGGUUAAACUUAAGGGUGAUGUUAAUUCUGUAGGAAAUCAUCAGCUUUGAAAAUUUUGUGUUUUCAAAUUAUUGAGAGGCAUGCAAUUUAGUAAAAUCUUACAAAAAAGAACAAAUGAAAAAAAAUUUUAAAAAUGAUAUACCUAUAUAGGACAUUUACCAUGAAUUGAGCUUACAGGGCUAGAAGUUGCACUGAGUGAGUCAGUGAGUGAGUGGUGAGUGAAUGUGAAGGCCUAGGAUAUUACUAUACACUACUAUAGACUUUAUAAAUACUGACAUUUAGGCUAUGCUAAAUUUAUUAAAAAUAUUUUCUGGCCAGACACAGUGGCUCACGCCUGUAAUCCCAGCACUUUGGGAGGCUGAGGCAGGCAGAUCACUUGAGGUCAGGAGUUUGAGACCAGCCUGGCCAAUAUGGUGAAACCCCAUCUCUACUAAAAAUUCAAAAAUUAGCUGGGCAUGGUGGUUCAUGCCUGUAAUCCUGGCUACUCAGGAGGCUGAGGCAGGAGAAUUGCUUGAACCUGAGAAGUAAAGGCUAGAGUGCAGUGAGCCGAGAUCAUGCAGCUGCAUUCCAGCCUGGGUGACAGAGUGAGAUGCCGUCUCAAAAAAAAUUUUUUUUUUAAUUUCUUCAAUAAUAAAUUAAUCUUAGCUUAUUGUAACUUGUUACUUUAUAAAUUUUUAAUUUCUUAAAAAAACUUUUUGACACUUAUAACACUUAGCUUAUAAUUGAAAAACAUUGUAUAGCUGUAUAAAAAUAUUUUAUUUUUUAUAUUCUUAUUAAAUAAGCUUUUUUCUUUUUUUAAUUUUUUAAAGUUACUUUAAAAAAUUGUUUUGGUUAAAAAGUAAGACACUAACACACACAUUAGCCUAGGCCUACACAGGGUCAAGAUCAUUCAUAUUACUGUAUUCCACCUCCACAUCUUGUCCCGCUAGAAGGUCUUUGGGUUAGCAACAUGCAUGGGAGUGUCAUCUCCUAUGAUAACAAGGCCUUCUUCUGGAAUACCUCCUCCAGGACCUGUCUGAGGCUGUUUUACACAUAACUUUUUUUUUUUUUGAAAGUAGAAGGAGUAUAUUUUAAAGUAACAAUAAAAACUAUAAUAUAGUAAAUAUAGAAACCAGAAACUUGGUUGCUUAUUAUUCAAGUAUUAUGUACUGUACAUAUUUUUAUAUUUUUUAUUUUUCCAAGACAGAGUUUUACUCUUGUCGCCCAGGCUGGAGUGCAGUGGCAUGAUCUCGGCUCACUGCAACCUCUGCCUCCGGGGUUCAAGCAAUUCUCGUGCCUCAGCCUCCAGAGUAGCUGGGAUUACAAGCACCUGCCAUCAUGCCUGGCUAAUUUUUAUUUGUAUUUUUAGUACAG